AAGAAAGAAAGAAAGAAAGAAAGAAAGAAAGAAAGAAAGAAAGAAAGAACAUCAUAACUCCCAAGUCAAAUGUCUGUAGCUUAGGGCUACUUCAUACAACCUCUUUUCACAUUUAUCCUCAGCAACUUGACUGCAUCCCACAGUUCCUCUGGUUCCCUAUCAAUGAGGUUCAGAACUUCAAAGCAGUUCCUGAUGUUCUCCUUGAAAAUACUCAGGAUCUGCAGGAAUUCCACCCAACAGCUCCAGCUCCAAAAGAACUACAUGAGCCACAGGUCCAAAAAGUACUAACCAACUAAGAACACAGCACUCUCUGGCAUACAUAACAGGUGGUGCUAAAAGGCAAGAUGCAAUGAUAUUUUCAGAGAACCUGAGUGUGGGCUCCUUCUCCUAACUGUCUAUCUUGACUGAAUUUAAGGCUGAAGGACAAGCAAAUAUUAAGCUGCAGGAGAAGUGCUAAUAAUAUCUGAUUGUUGAAAAAGAAUAUUGAAAGAAUUUUAAAUAUUUUUAAAGCUCAGCUUCUUAUUG